CAGUCAAGUAUAUUAGUCAAUGCUCGGAAGAGUGAACUAGCUAACUGCAAAUCACAAAAUCACAAAUAGUGCUUAUUAGUGAUAACGUAAGGGAAAAAAUUGAUAUUACCUUACUAUAAGUGUUGUCCAAAUAACUGGUGCCAGAAGACUCGGUAACACCAGAAACGCGAACGUUAGUCGUCUUAAACAGGCGUAAAGGGUAAGUAGGCUGCUUUAAAUGUCUAAAUUAAUAUAAGCUAAUUAAUAAAUUAUUUUUUUUUACUAAAAGUUUUCCAAUUAAAUAUAAAGAUGGCUAAAUAAGCUUCGUUGUAUUUAACACACUAAAAAUGAAAUUAUUUAGUAACUUGUUGUUUUUCUUGCAAUAAUAAUUAUUUUUUAUUAAAAUAGACUCACUUAAAGCUAGAAUCAUAAUUGAGAUGAACCAAAUAAUACUUAAGUGUAAGGGCGAUAUCUGUAAAUACUAAGUAGAAUACUAAUGGUGAAAACUUUUUAUCUAGGAAUGAUUGACGCUGAGGUACGAAAGUGAGAACAGGGAAUAGGAUUAGAUACCCAGUUACCUCUCACCGUCAACGAUGAAUGGUAGUUGUUAAUUUAUUAAAAUUAGUGACGAUGUUAACGCGAUAACCAUUCCGCCUUGAGAGUACGGUUGCAAAACUAAAACCNAAAAAAAUUAGUCGGUCUCGGAGCAAACGGAGUGAAGCAUGUUAUUAAUUCUAUAAUCG
rnacentral:rRNA from 1 species